UUCACUCUCUUAGUCUCAACUAACACUGACACAUCUCCAUCUCUUUCACGCACGACCAUGCUUUGGCCAAACCCUUUCCUUGACGGAGGGUGUCUCUCUACCCUCACUUUAUGGCGCCAACGCAUGGUCACAGUCAUGGUUUUUCUCUUCCCCACCUCUGGUUCAUGACUCUCUCUCUCUGUAUAUAACUAUAUAUAUAUAUAUACUUAUAUUGUUUUAGAGGAAGCAGACCCUCCAAUUCUACUAUAUUUCUCUCUCCCUCAUCCACUCCAUCUUCUAUCCAUUUUAGAGGUCACCAAACAACACAUCUGCCUCUGAUGUUGCAUGACAACGUCGAUAAGGAGAAGCUCCUGCCAUCUAAGAAGGUAAAUAUGUAUAUAUAUAUAUAUAUCUUAAUCUUAGUCUCUCCCUCUUAUCCACUCUAUCUUCGAUCCAUUUUAGAGGUCACCAAACAACACAUCUGCCUCUAGUGUUGCACGACAACGUCGAUAAGGAGAAGCUCCUGCCAUCUAAGAAGAUGGAGCAAAGUUCACAGUCCCAUAAGUUGGAGCUGAAAGUUGGAGUUGAAUUUUUAUUAUUUUGACUGAAAUUUAUUUAGUUUGAUGUUAUUUUUAUUGUUUUUGUUGAAUUCUACUUAAUUAUGAAUUUUAUUAUAAUUUUUUUUAUAUUUAUUGAUUAGUAAAUUAUUUGGCGAUAGG